CCGGAGUUACCAUAACAUAAACAACAAUUCGAGUACCCUUGGAUGAUGUGUCCUUUAUAGCACUUUAAACGUCUAAUAAGCGAAAUGUAUGUCAAUCUCGUAUUUCAGGUUGGUCUGUUUAUCAGUUACACAAACUGUGACUUUCUCUUGAGGUACUUGAGAUGGGCACCAAAGACAUUAUUUACCAAGCAAGAGUGGAGGUGACAAACAGGCUCAUUACAUACUGGUCCAAACUAUGUUAUGUUGUCAAAGAAAAGGCUUUUCAGAGUCAGCAGUUCUCCUAGAGGAAGAAGAUCAAGAGGGAGACAGAAAAUUAGAUGGCAAGAUAAAGUGAAGGAAGAUAUGGAGAGAAGAUGUUUAGUGGAGGAUGAUGCCUUUGAUAGAAGACAGUGGAGAAGGAGCAUCAGGCAACCGACCCAUAAUGUAGGGAUAACAGUGGGAAAGAAGAAGAAAAAGAGUUUUCUUCCAGGAGCAGCCGAAUUUAUGUACUACACCCUUAGACGUAUUACCAGACACCUACCCAACAAUCUACAAUCCGUCAAAAAAUGAAUAACUUUUGGUUAAUAGCAUCUGUAUAAAGUUGAAAAUCUACCCAUAGAAGAAUUGUCUGCCAGAAUUCAUAACAUCCCUUAUACCUGCUGGUAUUGUCAGGCCAGCUUUGUCUAACAGACGACAUCAAGCUUUGUCUGAUCAGUCGCUGACUUUCCUUUUGUUUUGAGAGGAAUUUUAUUAUGACUUCUGCACCUAUGCAGCCUAUUCUGGGGGUUAUAUUUGUAUGUACAGAUGAUAUGUAUCAGGUCUGAACAUUCCUCAGUUUUUAGAUAAUAUUUUUGAAAGAUACCUUUGUAUCUAUUAGAUGGCAUUCAGUGGAAAGGUUCUUGGGAAAUAAUAAUUUUUUUCUAUGUGCUGUGCAAUGACUGCAGGGGUAUACUGCUAAAAUUCAUUAUUAGUUUUUCUUCUUUUGUCACUUUCCAAGCCUUGUAACCUCAAUUUCUGUCUAAGUCAUGUACAAUCAUGUACAGGCAGUCCCCGGGUUACGACGGGGGUUCCGUUCUUGAGACGCGUUGUAACCCGAAAAUCGUUGUAAGCCGGAACAUCAUAAAAAAUACUAGGAAAAUCUUACUUUAAAUGCUUUGGGUGCAUUGAAAACUAUGUAAACUGCAUUCUUAUUGCAUUUUUCAUCAAAAAAACCUUGAAAUAUUGAUUAUUUUCCAUAUUUGGUGUCAUAUUUCUUCUGCCAGAUGAGCGUUGUAGGCGUCGUAACCCUGGAACAUGCGUCGUAACCCUGGAAAUAAUUUCUGAUGAAUAUAAUUGAAAAGCGCCUUAACUUCGGAACGUCGUAAGCCAAACCCGUCGUAACCCGGGGACUGCCCGUAUUCAAGGCUUAGUCCCUUGGACAAUGAAGCCUUUGUUAGUUGAAGAUUUUGAGAACAGUUUUCCUAAUGCGUUUAGUCUGUUUCUUUAAGUUCCUAAACCUGUACAAUACUUCUUUUGGUUAUGUCGUCUUCUGUAAGUUUAACCUGUAAAUGCUACUUUGUGUUGAGCAUUCUUUUAUUUGUAUUUGAUCUUGUAAGAAAUUAGAUUAAUGGCAUUAUAGUGACAUCUUUUGUUUAAAAUAGUUAAUGUUUUGGGACUUUGCAAGAAUAAGAAUAAUGAAUAUAAGUACUGUAAUGAAUAUAAGUACUGUACAUAUAUUUUAGAAUGAAUUUGUUAAUUGGUAUUAUCAAGUCAUUUAAUAGAAUUAGAAUAUGUCUAAAAGUCAUUGUAUGAUGAUGGUGCAAUGAAGAAAGUUCAUGAUACGUUACAUACUUGUAUGAUAAACCGUCGGAUGGAUUUGAAUGGAAGAAUCAUUGUAAAAUAUGAGCUUUGCAAAACAAAUGUAAUUUUUAAGCAUUUUAUACCUGUUGCUCUUUAUGACGAAUUUACUUGUUAAGCAGUUGUAAUAAUUUUCACUUGUGCAGAUGCCAGUGAGCUAAAUUCUGUAAUGGGCUACAAUGGGCGUGUUCAUUUUUGCAUAAUUUGUGUCUUCAACUACAGUAAUUUUCCAUGAGCAGGAUAAUGUACACUUGUAUUGGAUGAAUAUCGUCAUGUGCAGAAGUAUUUUAUAUUAAUACUGUAUAGUUCACCUUAGUUCACCCAAGAUUUUUUGUUCUGCAUUAACAAACCUUUACCAACAUGUAAUCAUGACUAUAAGAACUUUUGCUUAUGUAAGUAGAUCAGCCGGGAGGAAUGGGUGUGCAUAAAUCAAUCAGUCACUCUUGCAAGAUUUUAUGCUCUUAGACUUUAUAUUUAAAGUUUUCAAAGAGAGGUUAUUUUGUAUGAUUCCCAAGUUAGCCUUGAGGAAAGAAGUGAGUAAUUUUUGUUAAGCAUUCAUUUUGAAUGUUUUGAAUUUAAUCUUAGUGUUUUAACAUAAUUAUUAGAGAGGGAGGCAGGAAAGGAAAAAGGAGAUAGUAGUAUCACAUGGAUCAAAGAAUUUAAACAAGUUGCAGCAUUUUAGCAAUCACACAAAGAGAAGGAAAGCAGUCACAUAAUGCAUUAAAGUACCUCAUGAUGUAUGAAAUUAAGGCAUUGUAAAACCAUAAUUCCUCUCUUACUCAACGAGUUUACUUGUCUUUUUACAUUCUGAUUGUAAAAGACACCUAAAUAGGUAUCGUUUGUUGAUUGUCAGACGAGGACCGUUUCUGCAUAUAUUUCUCAUUUCAAGUAUUUAUGGUUUUUUGGAAUUAAAUUGAUUUCAGCAAUUAGUUUUGUAGCCACUAUUUAUAUUCCAUCAGAACUAGUUGAUUUAUUUCAUAUUUCACAUGGUAGUACAUGUCCUGAUAUAGCAGUUCUCUAAAAAUAUUCAGAAUGUAUCGGUCAUACUUCAUGCAGGGAAUUUCAGGCUUCCUUAGGUGUAUAGCAAUAUGUAUAGCAAUUUUUAAAUGGCAGUCUCUCAUUCAUUUUCCAGUUCAAUGGUGCAUAACUAAAAAUUGGUUAAAGGGGUGAAUUUUUUUAUCUGGUACAUUGAAUACAAAGUUCUGCUGUAGAUGGAAGCUCACUGGCAUUCUGCACAUUUGUUGUUCGUGUUUUAUUUUUGUUCAGGUUUUAUUAGUUUUAAAAGGCAGAACACGUUUUCCUUUUUGAAAGGUUUUGUAAAGUGAAGCAGAGAUCCCUUUUUUUUUAUCUUUCAUAUGAAAUGCUCUGUUUUGUACAUGAACUUCCCUGCCAGAUAUAUACUUAGCUAUAGUCUCCGACGUUCCGACAGAAUUUCAAAUCUCGCGGCACACGCGACAGGUUGGUCAGGUGGUCUACCUUACCCGCCGCUGGGUGGCGGGCGUAUGAACCAAUCUAUCUCUCCAGCCAGAUUUUUUUCUGUCGCUGAAGCGAUAACAACUGUUGUCGUUUCAUUCCGAUAUAUUCUUCAUUUCUCGCUUGCCUGGAGAUUGAUUUGGACAUUUUGGUGACGUAUUCGCUCUAUUUUGGCUUGGCAUACGCUGAUUGUGGACCGAUAUUGACUUUGCGCUGGAUUUUCCUGUAGAAUGCCUGAUUUUGAUUCUGUUUUCAAAACUCCGGUUUUGUUUAGAGUAUGUUUGACUGAUGGAUGUAAGGUGAGGUUACCGAAAGCUGCGGUUGACCCUCACACUAUCUGUGUUAAAUGUAGGGGGAAUGAAUGUUCGUUUAGUAACCCGUGUCAAGAGUGUGAGGUUUUGAACGAAGAUGAAUAUAAGGCUCUUUCUUCUUAUAUUAGGAAACUUGAAAGGGAUAGGGUACGUAAAGCUUCUUCAAGGAGUUCGAGCAGGUUGAGAAUGAGUGAGAAUGAAACUAACAUUAAUGUAGUUUUAGAACCUUCCUCCCAGGUCUCAGCUCCUGCUCCCCGCACCGAAGCCGUAGAUUCGUCUUCGGAGGCGGCGGCCUCAAAAGCUUCCUUGUGUUCUAAGGAAGACAAGAAUCUUCGUACUGAUCAAGGUAAGAGUGUCAGUGAUGAUAAGUGCAGUGUACCCAGUGAUGUGGAGGGUGCUUCUC